UUUCCGUAGGUGAACCUGCGGAAGGAUCAUUAACACUAAUCCAAUCAACUCAACCUAGCCUUCAGUUGCAGCCGCAGUACAGCUAGCGUAAGCAGGCAGUGCCGCAGCUGCAACAACUAACAAACUUAUCCACACAAAGGAGCCUAACUAAGCUCAACCAAUCAAAACCAAAUUCUCAACGAUGGAUAUCUUGGUUCCC
rnacentral:misc_RNA from 1 species